rnacentral:rRNA from 1 species
UGUAAGCGUAUACCAAAGUUGUUGCAGUUAAAACGCUCGUAGUCGGAAUUUGGCAGUUCCGGAUGUGUGCACGUCGUGUGCGCACUUCGCGGGGAUUGCUUUUGUGGUCUUGCGUAGGAUGAGGCACUUUUAUUAGUGAACGUCCUCACGCAACCACUUUUUACUGUGAGAAAAUCAGAGUGCUCAAGGCAGGCAUUUGCCGUGAAUGUAUAGCAUGGAAUAAUAGAAUAGGACUUGGUUCUAUUUUGUUGGUUUGUUGGGACUGAGUAAUGAUUAAGAGGGACAGUUGGGGGCAUUUGUAUUUCGGUGCUAGAGGUGAAAUUCUUAGAUUACCGAAAGACAAACUGCUGCGAAAGCGUCUGCCAAGGAUGUUUUCAUUGA